UCAGGUGGCCGCAGAGAAUAGGCCCAAGCGACUGUUUACCAAAAACAUAGGUUUCUGCUAAGUCGCAAGACGAUGUAUAGGAGCUGACGCCUGCCCGGUGCUGGAAGGUUAAGGGGAUCUGUUAGAGCAAUCGAAGCAGUGAACUUAAGCCCCAGUAAACGGCGGCCGUAACUAUAACGGUCCUAAGGUAGCGAAAUUCCUUGUCGGGUAAGUUCCGACCCGCACGAAAGGCGUAACGAUUUGGGCACUGUCUCAACAACAGACUCGGUGAAAUUGUAAUUCCGGUGAAGAUGCCGGAUACCUGCGACAGGACGGAAAGACCCCAUGGAGCUUUACUGUAGCUUGACAUUGGGUCUUGGUACUACAUGUACAGGAUAGGUGGGAGGCUUUGAAACCAGGACGACAGUUUUGGCGGAGCCAUCCUUGGGAUACCACCCUUGUAGUACUGGGACUCUAACCAUAGGCCAUGAAUCUGGUCUUGGGACACUGUCAGGUGGGCAGUUUGACUGGGGCGGUCGCCUCCCAAAAGGUAACGGAGGCGCUCAAAGGUUCUCUCAGUACGGUCGGAAAUCGUACGUAGAGUGUAAAGGCAAAAGAGAGCUUGAUUGCAAGACAUACAGGUCGAGCAAGGAUGAAAAUCGGACUUAGUGAUCCGGUGGUUCUGCGUGGAAGGGCCAUCGCUCAACGGAUAAAAGCUACCCUGGGGAUAACAGGCUUAUCUCCCCCAAGAGUCCACAUCGACGGGGAGGUUUGGCACCUCGAUGUCGGCUCAUCACAUCCUGGGGC
rnacentral:rRNA from 1 species